UCUAUUUGAUAGACUUGAUAGAACAUAGAUGUUACUCGAAAAUUGACAAAACAUGACACGGUCAAUUUUAAAGUAUAGACUUGAAAUUGGACUUAUUGAUAAGCAAGGCAUCUCAAGAAUGUGUAAUAGGGAAAUUAAAUCUCAAAUGUUGAAGAUUUGAGAAAGUAUUUUCUUAUAUGAUAGAAAAUCACUUUCAUAACCCUUAUAAUAAUAUGUGUCAUAAAAUCACAAAAGGGACACAUGUAUGGACUUGUGAGAUGAUAUCCAAAGGUGAAAAACCACAUGGGUUGUCACUUUAAGAUAUUACUAUAUCCCAGGAUCAGAACCAAAGCAAUUGAUAGAGUAUUAUUGCCUUUAAGAAAGGAACAUGAGAGUGGGACUCUGGAAGCGUGCAUUCACUUAGGUUAUUAACCAAAGUGAAAAUAACCCAUUUUAAAAAAUGGAACUUCAUAAUGGAUGAAGUACUAAUCAUAUGAAUAUAUUGUUAGUAUUGUACUACAAUGGUCUCAAGGUUGGAAAAAAAGUUUGUAUAAAGUAUACAAACGAAAUAUAUGUCGAUAUAUUGUUUUAGAAACUGCUUCAAAAGGUGUUUUGAAUGGAAGAGGUUCUUUUAGAACCAAUGAUUGAAUCCAAACCAUAAGGUCGUUAGUAGGAUACUACGACGUAAUGGGGCGAUAGCUCAAGCCAUGGUCGUUAGUAGGAUACUACGACGUAAUGGGGCGAUAGCUCAAGCCAUGGAAUCAAGGUCUCAUCAAAGUAUUCGAACACAAGAAAGAGACAUCAUCAAAUGUUUUAGAAACAUUUGAUCAGUAAAUCCAUUUUAUAAAUUAAAAGGAUUAAUGCAUAACCAAGUUAACCUACGAGCAUAAGCUCACUCAACUAGCAUAUAUAAGAUAUACUAGUGAUUGACUUUAGUGAAAGUGGGAGAUUGUUCGAGAUAUGCCCUGAAAGUCAAUCUUUGGAAGAAACCUUUCAGGAAUGAAUGGAUGUAUGGAUGAUUCUUAUACAUCAAAUGGCAAAGAUACUAAUUAGGACAUCUCUAAAACGAUAUAUGUCAAAUCUGAAUCCAUGGACAAAAUUGAUGAAGAGUAAAAUAUGGACAAAGGACUUCUUCCCAUAACCAUCAUGUCCAAAAAGGUUCCUGGUCAUAAGAUUGUCGGAGGGUACGACAAUGCAAGACCGUACAUACUAUGUCCCUUCAAUUAGAAGGAUGAAGUCUCAUCCCAUUCGUGUAGUGACACUAAGACAAGUAUGUAGGUGCUCAUUAAGGAUGGUUCACUGAACCAAUCAAUGAGAGUACUUGCAUGGAGGUCUACUCACAUGUCAAGCAAGUAACUCUAAUGGGGAAUAGUGUAAGUAGUCCUUUGACCUGAGGCAUCAUCGUUGUCUUGUGGUUAAGUACUUGAUCUUUGAUUAUGUUAAAGUCACCCCUUCCGAGGUGUCCACGGCAUAGUCGGGGUUAAGCCACUUAGUCAUGAAGGCAAGUGAAUGUUCAACAAGGAAUCUCUAAUCCUCGUUAUGAGAGGAUGAAUACUCUAAGAUAUGAUUCGGGAAUCUUCGGCCGAGUACGAGCGUAAUAAAGGAAAAGCGUUCCUAUACGAUCAAUUGAAUCAUAUAACAUGGAAUAACCAUUAAGGGUUUGACUAUUAUAUCCAUACCCUAGUGAUGUGAUUGAGAGUAUUGUUUUAGAGAAGGAUCGAAUGCUUGUAAUCAACUGAAUAGGUUCUCCGAACAACUUCUACAUUAGCUGGGUAGCAUGAUAUAUGGUUAGAUGUCACGAUGGCUUGUGAAUUCUUCUAGAUGAUUAAAUGUAGUCAUCAAAGAAGAAGUGAAUUAAAGUAAGUUUAAUUCACUAAGUGAUUGGAUUAAAUAUAAUCAAUUGGAUUGGUGCCAAUCACCUCACUGCUUGCUAAUUAGAACCUAAAACGAUGUUCACCAAUACACUCUUGUAGUGAGUAACUAAUGGAUGAUGGAAAUAAUUAAUUGAUUAAUUAAGUGUUGUGAUUAAUUAGACAGUCUAAAGAAUCAUAAAAAGCGAUAUAAGAUCGUUUUGGGCUUAAAGAAACGUUCGGGUUUAAGGGCCUAAACCCAUUGGGCUUUUAUUCAAGCAUUGGAUGACUUGAAAUAAAUAAAAGCCCAAAAGCCAACAACACUAAGGGGGCCAGCCAAUAUAGAGUGAAAAGGAGAGAUAGGAAGUCAAGUUGUUGGCUAAGGUUUCUUUGUGUUAUAAAAGGAACUUUAUAGUGAAAAAGUUGAUUAGGGUUUGUGUGUUGUUUUUCACAAAAAGAAGAAACCAUCUCUCUCUCUCAAAACUCCACAAGGCCGGCCGCCAUAAGGGUAUUUACUAAUCAUUUUCUCACCCUUUUGGUUAUUCCUUUAUCCUUCUCACUACACUAGUGGGUGAGGAUCUUUAGAGGUUUUCAAUUUGGAAACUUGAAGAGAACUAGGAGCACUCAUUCUAAACAAGUGGAGGAGGCAAGGAAGGAGGCUAGGCUCAAGGAGUUCAAGGAGCAAAGGUCUUGGAGGUGGUCCAUCCUUGGUCUAAGAUCUAGAUCAAGAGGUAUAAAACUACUCCUAAACUUUGUUCUUUUAUAUGAAUUUGUUUUUGAUGCAUCUUACAUAAACCUAUGCAUCUUGAAGGGGAUUUGCAUGACUAGAGCUUUGAUAUUAUUUGAUAACAUGCUUUCGUAUAUAAAUCAAUAGUUGAAAAAAAUAUAUGCAUGCUAGUCACUAGAAAUCCCACAUGAAAUCUCAUAAAUUUCCCUUCAACAAGGUGGUGCCAAUCUUCACCAUGCGAUCCAAAUAAUCUUUUGCGAUAGAGACCUUCUCCAACUCUUCAGGGGGUUGUGCUUGCUGGGUGAAAGAGUCAUCUCGAAGAUCAUCGGGUUGACUAUUGCCACCGUGAAGAUCCAAGUUGGCUUCGUCUGGGCUGGUCUUUAUGACUUGGUCAUGUAUAGAAAGGGUUUCCUUGGGCACAGAAAGGUGCUGUUGCUUGACCGAAGUGUUGUAACAUGAUUGUGCACUAAGUUAAUCUCCUCUGAUUUAACCAUUGCCAUACGGAGUUGGAAAUUUCAUCAACAACAUGUGUGUGGAUACCAUGGUCUUGAGAUCAUUGAUGCCUAUGCGUCCCAAGAUGACAUUGUAUGUCGUUGGGCAAUCAACCACCAGAAAGUUAGUGGUAAUGGUAGCUGUGUAAGGGCCUGUACCAAUGGUGAAAGGUAAGUGUAUGCUCCCCAAAGGUUGCACAAUAUCACCGGAGAAGCUUAUCAGAGGGGAAAUCGAGCGAUCGAGCAAGUGUUUAGCUACAUUAAGUGCCCUGAAAGCUUCGGCAAACAUGAUAUUGACCGAAGCCCCCGUGUCUACCAGGAUUCGUUGUACUUCAAAGUUGGCUAUGUGAGCUUCCACGAUCAGUGGGUUGUUGUGAGGGUAGAUGAUACCUCUUUCUUCCUCAAGGUAGAAACAUAUUGGAUCGCAGUUAGGCUUUUUAUGCUUGCCUCCCCUGAUGUCUUCCACAUGAAAUACUUGGUGGCCAGACCUUAAAGCUCGUUCACUAUUUUUCAUGGCCCUGUUGGAAGAUUUAGAUAUGGGUAUGCCACCACUUAUGGAAUAUAUCACAUUCACCUGGCGUUGGUUACGGUUACCCUUUGGAGGGUGAAUGAGGAAUUAAUCAAAUUUUCCCUCACGUGCCAAAGCUUUAAUAUGAUCACGAAGGGUGAUACAUUUCUCGCCGUCAUGGUCGUUAUACUCGUGGUAGCAUCAAAACGUGCUCGUGUUCUUCGUGGACUUGUAAUCUGGGUGCCUGAGCUUUGGUUUUGGUAUCAAGUGUGCUAUGCUGGGGUAAAUGGCCACGCAUGUGGCGUUCAAAGGUGUGUAUGCCUCAUACCUCGGGGUAGGGGCUGUCCUGACACGUGCUUGACCCACUGUGUUGACUGCCUGGGGUCAGGGAUUAUCGUGGUGAUAUCAUGGUGAUACUCUUUCAUAAAUCUCCAUCUUCUUUUGGAAGUAGGAAGGUUUGAUCAAGAGCAUGUGAUUUUUCCUUGAUCUCGCCAUACUGACUUUCAAGGUAUGUCUAUCGAAACAUCUCUGAGUCCCCUAUACCUUCGUGUUUCUCUAAGACUUGUUGCCCCUUCCCCAAAUUGGUAACCGGCCUGGGAUGUGGGAGGGGACCGAGUCUUUCAGAAACCCUUGGGUCAUUGAUCUUCGAGCUUAUGUGGAAGGGAUUCUCUCGACGUUGCUUUAGGAAGUCCUGGCAGUCACGAUAAACGGCUUUCGAUCCUUCCAACCUUUCUGCAAGGAGAUGUCUUCCUCCACUUCUCCUGCUUCGGGUCGAAGCAGCUGGGUUGAGAGAAGUCUCAUGUUGAUCAAUGUUUUGAUGAUUAGCUCGCUCCUCAUCAGGGAUAUCCAUGUCGAAGGAAGGUGACCCUCUUUGUUGGGAGGCAUCCAGAUGAUGGUUGAUGUCCACAGGGGUAACGAGUUUGCGUGUUUGAGUACACCUAGUUUCGUGGAGCAUCUCAAAGAGCUUCUCAUACUGCUCCUAAAGAACCUCAUUCUUCAUUGCUAUCUUGUUGUUUUGAGAUUCUAGCUCAUCGACUUUAGCUUGAAGACCAACCCUCUUUCCUUCCUUCUUUCGUUGCUUCGCAUUAGGUGCAAGAGGGGUGUCAUUCUGUGUGUUGUGGCUUCCUUCGCUCCCCAUGUUGGAGAGGGAUGCUUGAUCAAAAGAGAGUGUAUGAAUGGUGGAAACCAGCUUAACAAAGAUGAAAAGAGUGAGAAUAAGUGUCGUUCCCACACACGGCUCCAAAUGUUGAUGCACAAAAUCAGUAAGGACUUUGGUACAACAGAAAGUGUUAUGUUUGUGACCUUCGCUAGAUUGCUCCGGUCACUAGUAUGGAUAAGUAUGUAAAUGGAUAGAUAUAAGGAAGCAAACACUAGAUGUAUGUGGUUCACCCAGAUUGGCUACGUCCACGGAGUAGAGGAGUUCUCAUUAAUUGUGAAGGGUUUACAUAAGUACAUAGGUUCAAGCUCUCCUUUAGUGAGUACAAGUGAAUGAUUUAGUACAAAUGACAUUAGGAAAUAUUGUGAGAGAAUGAUCUCUAUUUAUAGAAGAGAGUUUUUAGUUUCAUUCUGACAUUGACACGUGUCAUGUUGUGACUGGCUUCUGAUGUCGACACGUGUCGCGCUGUGAUUGGCCUCCUGGUUAGAGGGAAAUCUUCUGGGUCCUUGACGUUAUAACGUUGACCGGUGCUCAGUAGUUUCGGGAUUGGUCAAGUAUGGUACAAACAGAUUGGUUGCUUGUCCUUUAAUUUGAUUGGUCCUUUAACCUUUUAACUUGAUUGGUUAGUCUUCCCACAAGGUGGGAGUUUAAUUUAAUUAAAACUAAACUUUGAAUAACCAAUUUCGAAUGUCCGUAAGUAUACCGUUAUAAUCCGAACUCGCAAACGGCUUUCGCCUAUGCAUUCAUACCAACGAGUAGUACGAGGAUACACUAAAAGAAUAAGUCAUACACUCCUUUAGACAAUGGUAAACAGAAGUCAAAGUUGUUGCCUCUAGGACAUUUUUGUAAAUUCACACUUUUAAAAUUAAUAAAAACGUAAAAUUAGGGACGGGUCGUCAGACGAAGUCCAAAUAAUUAAUGCAAUUAUAAUUAUAAACCUAAAGUCCUAUUUUUCAUAUUCUUGUUGCAUAUUUCUAUGCAUAUAUUUGUGUUUGCUUGCAGGAAUACAUGAACCCUGAAGUUCAUAAUUAUUUUGAAACCUGAAGUUUCUUACAAACAUGCCUUGUUUGAAAACUUGAAGUUUUCAUUUAAAAACAUCACCCAUGAAACACCGAAGUUUUUUCAUGAAAAAUUAAACCAAUACAUGUCUAUUAAAACCUGUAUGUUCUACUCCUAUGUGAAUGGAUUGAUUUUUUCUCUGUUACACUAACCACAUAUUGUCCAUCUAUUUUGUGAUCGGAACAUGUCGAAUUUGAACAAACUCAACUUCACCGCUUUGGAGGUCUCUAGAAGGAACUACCUCAAGUGGGUCCAAGAUGUGAAGCUUCACCUCAUUGUAAAGAACUUGUGUCCCGCCAUUGAAGAAAAGACGGACAAUCCUGUUGGCGAAGCUGAAAAAGCCACUGCUAUGAUCUUCAUUUGAAGACAUAUUCAUGACGCCUUGUAAACUGAAUAUCUUGUUGAGGAGGAUCCACGUGCACUAUGGGUCGCUUUAUUGUUUUAAUCACCAAAAAGACAUAUUCUUGCCUGAAGCAAGACAUGAUUGGCAGCAUUUGCGCUUCUAAGACUUUAAGUCUGUGAAUGAAUAUAAUUAUAAAGUUUGUCGAAUCCCAUCACUUCUCAAGUUUUGUAACGAAACUUUGAUUACAAAGGAUCUUCUGGAGAAGACAUAUUCAACCUUCUCUACUUCUAAUAUUGUCAUGCAGCAACAAUAUAGAGCUCAGAAGUUCACUAAGUUCUCAAAUUUGAUCUCUGUUUUACUUCUCACUGAAAAGUAGAACCAACUGUUGAUGAAGAAUCAUCAAGCUUCACCUACUGGGGUGACUGUUAUGCCUAAAGCACAUUAUAGCAGAUUGUGGAAGAGGAGGGCAUCGCCUGAAGCUAUACUAUGAGAGUGAUGUGGGGCAGAUUGUGGAAGAAAUCCCACUCAGUGUCGUGGGCCCUAUCCAAGCUUAGAAGGAAGUUUCGUUUGGCUGCAAGACGUUAAAGCAAGCGCUUCUUGGGAGGCAACCCAUGUUUUACGUUCCUAAAAACCUUCCAUUUUUUGCAAUUUUAUUUUGCCAUGAUUGUCAUUUUUAUUUGUUGCUUGUUUAAUUGUUUUUGUUGUGGGUUUAUUUUUGAAACAUUGACAGAUAUGCAAGGUAUUUUACAUUAAAAUUCGUUGAAAAUGAACAGGAGGCAGAAAAAUACAAGAGGGAGCCUUCACAAAGGCUGCUUAGGAGAAGUCUCAAUAGUCGGCGGAGCCACAGAAGGAGGAGGUAUCGGAGGUUGAUCAUUUGGAGCUUCAUUACGCGGUACAGCCCCAGAAGACGAAGGCAAAUACUGUUGGAACAAACCCACAAACCUCUGAUGAUCAAGUAAAAUCUGACCAUCAGAUUCCUGCAUCUGGUCAAUCUUCCUCUUCAUGUUUGUAGCAUAGUUAUGUGCAAGCUUGUGCAACUGUUUAUUCUCAUGCUUGAGCCCCCUAAUCUCCUGUUUGAAACUCAUCACUUCAGCCGCCAAUGAUUCAACUUGACAGGUUCGAGCAAAUAGGCGUUGGGCCAUAUUAGACACAGAACCUGCACACUGCACACUAAGAGCCAGAGAAUCCUUAACAGCCAACUCAUCAGACCAUUUGGAAAGUAGUUUGUUAUCUUUGGGAGUGAGGAGGUUCUUGGCCACCACCACAGCGGUCAAAUCAUUCUUCAUCACCGAUUCCCCAAUGGUAAGAGGACCAGUAGGGGAUAUGAAGGAUGGGCGCCAUAUGUUGUCUGGAGAAGGCAUGGAUGCCUUUUCACCAAGGUUCAAGUCAAAACGACGAUCGGAGGGGCCAAACAUUUUCAAAGGUGUUGAAGAAAAAAGAGGUCGAACAAAUCGAGAUCUUAAGAAGUGCAAUGAAGGGAGUUUCUAUGGGCAGAAAUUCAAGUGUGCUUAGAAACGACCUACUUAUCCUCUAUAAAAAUCAGCACUUGACGGGAUUUCAGAGAUCGAAGAGGCGAGCUCAGAAAUCGAAGAGGCCAAUUCAAAAAUGGAAGAGGCGCUAGCUUUCUCAAAAGCUGGGCUUGCAAAGAAACCACGGGCCAUCCUCUAUUCCAGAUUUGUCCGCACUUGUCACAUGCAACCUCUGCACUCGACGAAGCUCAGAAAUCGAAAAGGCAAGUUCAGAAAUCGGAGUGGCAUUUGUUUUUCCAGACGUGUCAGCAUCUGUCACAUGCACACUCAUCCUUGCAGAAAUUACGGGCAAUCUGUCGAAGAUUUCUGGUGACGUAGGAAGCACGUGAAGAUUACUAUUCAAUCAUCCAACGGUUGCCGACAAGAGUGAAAGAAUAGUACCGGUUAUUAAUUCAUAUAAAUGUCGACCUUCACCCUCCAUUGCAAGGCAGACAUACAUAACCCUUCUUCAUAUCUGAGAAUGCCUUCCCAACAAAGCCUCUCGAGUCACUCAGUGUUCCUUAUUCCCUGGGAUACCUUUGCAAACAACCCAUCACAAGCAAAAGUAUUUCAUAUCAUGAAGGUUGAAAGCAAUAGUAUCUCAUAUCAUGCUUUCUCCUUGUCCUUCUCCUUGUCGUUGUUUUCAUCUGUGGGACAAGGAGAAAGAGAGCAAUUAGCCAGCACUUGGUAUCAAUCUUCCGAUCUAGAACCGACUGCCUGGAACCCUUUCCUGAUUGCUUACCUAGCCUUGCUCUCGUGUACUCAUCUUCAACAUCUUAUGCUUCCUCUUCGUCUACCACUUCUGCCUGGGGAACAGAUAAGGGAAGUGAAAAUGAUACCUCGAAGCAUGUGGAGACAAUGUGCUAAUUCAUCCUCGGCUAGGGACAAGGAGAAAGAAAGCAAAUGGUCGGCACUUGGAAAUAUUGAAGAAAGAAACAAACCAUCACCUCUACCUCGUGCCUGCCUGCCGUGCAGAAGAAACAAGCAGAGAAGAAUGCAGACUGCACACCAAGGAACUCUGAUAUUCCUCACUCAGAAUUCCAAACCAGUUCGAGAUCAAAGUUGUGGAAAGUCAACAAGAUCAUCUAUCUCCAAAACCAGAUUUGCGUUCUUAAACUCUACUCUGUCUGGUUUUUACUUUGCUACACUUGUCAUGUUUAUUCUUUGUUUGUUUGUUUGCUUGUUUUUGUGUGAGUUUAUGCUUGAAACAUUGAUGACAAUGAUUGAUUUAAGUGUUGGGGGGGGUAACCAAAUUGAUUUGCAUGAAAUUCGUAGGAGUUUAUCACCCAUUACUUCUAGUGUUGUUCCUUGCUGUUUUUAAGUGUUUUUAAGCUGUUUUGGAGUGUUUUAGUGUGUUUUGACAUAAAAAUCCGAAAAUCUCAUAAAAAUUUGAAAAAUUGUUUUGAAAAACCCAAAAAGAGUUGUUUUUGUGUGUUUAUUUGUGUCUUAGGGUACCUUCCAACACAAUGAUGAGGAUUUGGUUUUUAAUUACAUGACUGUUAAAGAGAGUUAUAAACAUGGAUGAAAAUUUGAUUUACUCUUUGGUGUAUGCUUGGUUGUGGUUAUAAUUUAUGAAUUCACAUGCAAUCAUAAAGAAAAAAUCAGUUUUGUAACAUGCUUGAAGGAAGGAACUCAAAUGAACGCUACAACCUUGUGAGACUUGAGCCUAAACGUUUAUUUGGAGAGUUAAUAAUCCGUGCAUCAUUGUUUUCCAAAGUCGUUGCAUGAUCUCAUUAUUCUUUGCUUGGUUGCUACUUAGAAGGCGUUUCAUCAUUCAGUUCCAAAUGCUAGAACUCAUGCCUAUUUCAUUCAAAGCAUGCUAUUGAUUUGCAUAACACAUAUUCAAGAUGAAGUUGUGUAGUGACCACCAAAGCCAAAUUGUCGUGCCCCUAUUUCAUUAUGUGUUUAAGUUUAACCCCGUUGAGCCUUGUUAAGCCUAUGUUCUUUGUUAAUCCACACUAUCCUUACCUAGCCUAGUUUUAGGACCAUCCAUACCCUUAUUCUUGAAGCAUAGUAAAGCAUAACUUAAAAUGAGCUCCUUUUUUUAUCAAUGUAUUGCAGAAAGCAAGUGUGGGGGAAGUGAUUCUUGUGUGUGUGUGUGUGUGUGUGUACCAAAGUCCUUAAUAAGACACAGGUAGAAAAGAAUAAAAAAAAAAAAAAAAGGAGUGAAAAGAAAAAAAUUUGUUAAAAAAGGGUCCAAAACAUUGAAUUCGGCCCUAAGUGUUGCAUGAAUCUUCCCUUUGUAUUUAAAAGUUGAUUCUACAAUCUAAAGUGAAUUCCAAGUGUCUAUUUCAUUGCUUUGCUUGCUAUCGCUUUAAGAACGUUUGUUAUUGCUAUCCUUUCUUUAUUAGCCAUUACCCCCAAGCCCCGUUACAACCUUUGACUUCAAUCUUGAGUGUUAUGUGUUUCAAUUCGUGGAGUUUGAAAUUGGUAUGAGCAUAUGGUGUCACUGGUUCUCGCAUCUAAGUAGUAGCAUUCCAUUCAUGAGAUCAUAUCUAAACAUGCUUAUUAACUCCAGAAAUUGCUUUCUUUGUUAUAACAUAUGUGAGUACUAGUCUUCCAUGUUUACAUCAUUCUGCUCACAUAUAACUAGUGUAGGGUGUGUAGUAAGAAAAUGUGUGUGAAAAUAGAGAGUAUCUUGUAAGGAAUUGAGCAAAUUCUCUAAGGCAUGUUACUACAUUCAAAAUAUCGUUUUAAUUGGUUAAUUGCGAACUAGUAAGUGGUGACUGUAUUUAAGUAUGUGCUCAAGUGUGAAGAUGACCAAAAGCUGUUGGAAUGAUGAUUUUUAACAUGUCAUGUGCAUUGGAAAUCCAUGAGGCAAAUGUUGGAAGGUUAAGUUGUGUUCUGUUUGUUUUGAUUCGUUUGUUUCUUUUGUUUUGCUAGAGGACUAGCAAAAGCUAAGUGUGGGGGAAUUUGAUAAGAGCAUAUUUAUGCGACUGAGUUAGCUUGUUCUCAUGCAUUUAUGUUGUUAUUCCUUAGUUGUUUUAGUGUUUAAAGUCAUUUUUGUGCAAUUUGGAGCGUUUUGGAGCGAUUUUGGGCUUGGAAUAAAUAUCACAUGCUUGGAACUAAAGGAAUGAAUGAAAUUGAAGACCUAAAGAUGAGGAUUCCUACUUGAAGUAGGAAAGUUAAGCCAAGGUUUCCUAUUUUGGUUUGAUCUUUCCUAAAUCCUAAAUGUCCCUAAGUUCCAGCAACAUUGAAGGUUUCACAUGCAUUUUAGGACACAAAUUAAGGGUUCCUUGUACCAUAACAAACCUUUGCCGUGCACUCCAUCCAUGUUUAAUUCUUGCAUCAAUCAUUAAUUCACUUUCACCUUUGAAUCAUUUCAACACCACUCCAUUUUACCCAUGCUUUGCAUCAUUACUUCACUUUCACCUUUGAAUCAUUUCAACACCACUCCAUUUUACCCAUGCUUUGCCUUGCACUUCCUCUAUAAAAGGAAGUGUGUGUAACAUAAAUUGAGUUCAUACUUUGUUAGAUCAUUCACUCCCAUUUCAACACAACCUUCAUCCAAACACAUCCAUUCCUCGAUACAAACAAACCUUCAAAUACUCACCAACACCUUGUGCCAUAGCAAAGGAAGGGAAGGAAAGUGCUUGGACGUGCUUGCUGUCCAACUUGGAUCGUUGGAGCGUUUAGGUGUUUUCUUUCUUUUGUUUCUAAUGUUUAAAUUCAUUUCCUUUCGUUUUGUUGUAAAUAUGAGUGGCUAAACCCCUCUUGGCUAGGGUUGAUUUCAAAGCCAUGAUUAUGUGUGCAAUAUAAUUUGAUAAAUUCCAGUUAUGAACUCUUGAAUCGUGAAUGCAAUUAGCUUAACUAUUUGAUUGAUAACUUAUUUGUAUUUGUUAAUUAAGGGUCGACACUUAAUUGGCAUGCAUAAAUCCGUUGCUAGAAUAUAAGGAAGUUUCACAUAAUCGUUACAAACUUAUAUUCACAUGUAGUGAAGGUCGCAUAUAAACGAUCGCGUUAAGUUCAAUUCCUAGCAUAAGCGACAUGAUGUCAUAGUUGCAAGUGCUUUGUCAAUGCUUAUGAUUUUCAUUAAACGUAAUGAUCUUUGAUUGUAUCUCUAUUAUGAUGUCAUGUAGGGAACUUUUGAAGAAUGUUUUGGGUUGUCGAAUGAUGUCAUCCAAUCCAAUAAAACAAGGAAAAUCUAAGAGUUAACUAGUGAUGUCACGAUUAAUUUGGAGCAUUGUCGUUCAUAAUUCAAUGAAGUAGUAAUUGGAAAUCAAGUUAUUUGCAUACAUGUCAUGUGUGGAGAAAAAGCCUCUAGCUAUCCCAUCCAUCAUCUUAUUUCUCAAUUUUAUUUUACAAUCUGUCUAGUUUUUCAUACUUGUUUGUUUGUUACAACUUCCUCCAAAUCAAAACCCCCCCUUUUAGUUUCUUGUUUCAAAGUUUUUCAAAUCUGUUUUAAUUUGUGUUUUUAAAUAUUUUGAUUCAAGUAAAAGUCAAUUUUCGUCCAAAGUCAUUCCUAGUGUCUAGUUUAAGUUUAUUUAGUUGUUUUAAGCUGUUUUGAGUAUUUUCAGUUUGCUUUGAGUCUUGUGAGUCUUGUUAAGUGUUUUUAAAUUUAGUUUUAUGUUUUUGAGUCAGUUUAGAGGUUAUUAGCAAGCCCUCCUAAUCCCCGGUCCAAAACGAUCCCUACUUAUACUUGUACUACAAUUGUCAAAAGAGGGUUAAAUUUGUGUGUUAAGAUAAUUUUCGCACCACUUGCCCCACCGACAACCAGACUGCCGCUGGGGUCCUCUUCCUCCUUUCUUACAUGGUCACCUGGGGGGACGAGCCUUCCACCAUCGUCGAUCGCUUCGGCAUCGACUGCUCCACCUUGCUCCAAGCCAACCGCCUAUCCUCCAGUGACAUCAUUUAUCCCUUGACCCCAAUUUUGGUUCCUCUCACCACGAAACCUUCACCUUCUCACCUGCAAAUCUCAUCUCCUCCUCCUCCUCCUCCUCCUCCUCCAUCGUUGUCAACAACUGGAAACUCCUCCUCCUCCAACAACAAGAAGUGGAUCUUUGUGGGUGUUGUUGAAAAAUAUUAGUAUUUAUGUUUAUUUUAGUAUUUGGGUUUUCUUAUAAGUUUAUUUUGGGCCUAGCCUGUUAGCAUUAGGGUUAGGGUUAGUUUAUUAUAAAUAGAGUGUUUUGUUAUUCAUUAGAGAAUAAGUAAUUCACAAUGUAGUCUCUUAGGGUUUUGUAGCCGUUCCGGCAUUCUCGUUCUUUAAAUAAUAUUCUUUCUAUUUUGUUAGUCUUGUUCAUUGCGCACUUUGAUAUUCAUCUUGGUAUCAGAGCGGGUUCGAUCCUUAGGGUUCAAUAUGUUCUCAUUGGUAUCAAUUUGUUUGUAUUAGUUUUGUUUCCAUCAUUUUUCGUUGUUUGUGUUUUCGUUUCUGACGAAACUACUCAAUGUGAUCCCAGAGGGAAUAAGUUCGUCAUUGGAGCGACGUAAUGCCUUCAUGACGUUUACAGGCAUGAUAUUGAUGGUGGCUCCACAGUCGACAAAAACUUUGGAGACUGGAUACCCUUCAAUAUGGGCCGUUACAUACAAUAGCUUCAAAUGAUGAAGUUUGGCCGAUGAUGAGCGAGGAAACAAUUUGGCCAAAGCUGCCUUGAGGUUGUCAUCUUUUGUUGUCGACUUGACUUCAGCAACAGUUACAAAAUCAAUGUGACUGGCUUCCUCGGCAACUACGUCACCAUCGAGGAAAUUCAGUUGAGCUGUGCUCGACUGAAAAUUAGCGGGCAAAACAUGGACCAUACUGAUUUCCAUGUUAUCCAGGACUGACGGGCCCAUCAGGUUACGAUCAUCUUCUUCAGCCCCUUUUAUUUCCUGGUCACCGACUGCGGCAUCUACUUUCGUCAGAGUUGUACUAAGAGACUCCUCUGCUCCUUCUUCAAUGGUUUGUUCUGGCGGUGUCUCUUCGGCAGCCUGUUGGUUCUGCGUAGGUGCCUCAGGUGUGUCUGAAAUCAGAAUUGUGCCUGGGAUUGGUGCCAGGAUACGAGUUUGCUCUUGGUACAUUAUACGGGCAUCCCUGGUGUUGAGAUAGGCAUCCAACUGUGCAACUCAUGUUAUUUCAUCGACCGUAAGGCCGAAGAGAGAAACAGCCGAAAAGACUUCGAAGUGGUAUCGUAAAUACUGAAGGUCCUUUAUUGAGAAAGGAAGGUCGGCUGCAUCGAUAUGUUGGAAAUAUGCCCUGAAAGUCAAUCUUUGGAAGAAACCUUUCAGGACAAUAAAUGGAUGUAUAGAUGACUCUUAUACAUCAAAUGGCAAAGAUACUAAUUAGGACUAUCUCUAUAAACGAUAUAUGUCCUAAAUAAUGAAUCCAUGGACAAUGGAUCGAUGGAAGAAGUAAUCUAAUGAUGUUAGACUACAGAGACCUCCUUCACAUAACCAUCAUGUCCAAAAAGGUUCCUGGUCAUAUGAUUGUCAGAGGGACACUGACAAUGCAAAGACCAGUACAUACUAUGUCCCCUGAAGGAUUUAUUUUGAAAAACAUGUUCAUUUGAGCAACAUCAUAUAGCAUGCAAUUAACAAUUAAAGGCGGAAUCAUGCUUGCAUGCACUCAAAAACAAAACAUUACCAUGAAAUUCAAAGCCUAGUAGAUUGGUGAACCAAUAAUCAACUCAAAACAAAGUGAGUUGAAAUUAUUACCUUUGUAGAUUCCUCUUUGCAUUAGCAAAGGCUAAUCACCCAAAGAGAUAUGGCCUUCAUUCCUUGCUUCUUAGAUCCAUGG
rnacentral:lncRNA from 1 species